rnacentral:rRNA from 1 species
CACGAACCGUCCAAACGUUAUUCGGUAUCACUGGGCUUAAAGCGUGCGUAGGCGGCCUAGAAGGUGAGAUGUGAAAGCCCACGGCUCAACCGUGGAACUGCGUUUCAAACCACUAGGCUUGAGGAAGACAGGGGUGUUGGGAACUUAUGGUGGAGCGGUGAAAUGCGUUGAUAUCAUAGGGAACACCGGUGGCGAAGGCGCAACACUGGGUCUUUUCUGACGCUGAGGCACGAAAGCUAGGGUAGCGAACGGG